UACUGUACAGUCUACAGCUUCAUUGCCA
rnacentral:sRNA from 1 species